rnacentral:rRNA from 1 species
UACGGAGGGUGCAAGCGUUAUCCGGAUUCACUGGGCUUAAAGGGUGCGUAGGCGGGCAGUUAAGUCAGUGGUGAAAUCUCCGGGCUCAACCCGGAAACUGCCGUUGAUACUAUCUGUCUUGAAUAACGUUGAGGUGAGCGGAAUAUGUCAUGUAGCGGUGAAAUGCUUAGAUAUGACAUAGAACACCGAUUGCGAAGGCAGCUCACUGAGCGCUCAUUGACGCUGAGGCACGAAAGCGUGGGGAUCAAACAGG